CGAACUAACGUGAGCCCCCCUGNCUCUUCUGUGCCCAUAAAACUUAACCUCUAGGUGCAAAGGCCUAGAUAAUACUAAUAGACAAGAAGACCCUAUCGAGCUUCAUCGCUAAACAUUANAAAAGCUAAGUAACUUUAAGCUGUCUCAAUGCCNAGGCCAUUUCGUUGGGGCAACAAAGGAACACCUAAAGCUUCCUUUAAUCUAUAUUAAUUAUACUAGACAAAGACCCACUACAAGUGAUCAAAGGAAAAAGCUACCGUAGGGAUAACAGGUUAAUUUUUCUCGAGAGCCCACAUCAACAGAAAAGCUUGGCACCUCG
rnacentral:rRNA from 1 species